AUGUAUCUACGCCUUCGUGAUUUGCAUGCUCAGUCUAGACUUCCAUGGGUUGCGAUUGGUGAUUUUAACGAGAUCUUAUUCUCGUCUGAAAAGGAAGGAGGAGCACCACGACAACAAGUUCGGCUUCAGGCAUUCCAGGAUGCACUCUCAGAUUGCUCACUAGAAGAUAUUGGCUACCAUGGUGACAAAUUCACUUUCUUUAGAGGAGGAUUGAGGGAAUGGCUGGACCGAGCUGUUUCGAACGCUGAAUGGAUGAAACUACACCCAUUAUGUGGGCUGCCUAACCUUGAUUUGGGCAAGUCUGACCACCGGCCAAUUUUUCUGGAUACGGAUUACUUGGCAGGGGUAGCUGCACCGCGACCUCGAGAUGGCCGGAAGUUUGAGGCGCGAUAG
rnacentral:rRNA from 1 species